CACCACGAGGCGCUGUCUA
rnacentral:siRNA from 1 species